AUUGAACGCUGGCGGCAGGCCUAACACAUGCAAGUCGAGCGGAUGAAGGGAGCUUGCUCCUGGAUUCAGCGGCGGACGGGUGAGUAAUGCCUAGGAAUCUGCCUGGUAGUGGGGGAUAACGUCCGGAAACGGGCGCUAAUACCGCAUACGUCCUGAGGGAGAAAGUGGGGGAUCUUCGGACCUCACGCUAUCAGAUGAGCCUAGGUCGGAUUAGCUAGUUGGUGGGGUAAAGGCCUACCAAGGCGACGAUCCGUAACUGGUCUGAGAGGAUGAUCAGUCACACGGGAACUGAGACACGGUCCAGACUCCUACGGGAGGCAGCAGUGGGGAAUAUUGGACAAUGGGCGAAAGCCUGAUCCAGCCAUGCCGCGUGUGUGAAGAAGGUCUUCGGAUUGUAAAGCACUUUAAGUUGGGAGGAAGGGCAGUAGGUUAAUACCUUGCUGUUUUGACGUUACCAACAGAAUAAGCACCGGCUAACUUCGUG
rnacentral:rRNA from 1 species